CUGGUUGAUCCUGCCAGAAGUUACUGCUAUCGAGGUUCGACUAAGCCAUGCGAGUCGAAUGUAGCAAUACAUGGCGUACUGCUCAGUAACACGUGGACAACCUGCCCUUAGGUCGGGUAUAAACCCGGGAAACUGGGUAUAAUCCCCGAUAGGUCUCGGCUGCUGGAAUGCAUCGAGAUUUAAAGCUCCGGCGCCUAAGGAUGGGUCUGCGGCCUAUCAGGUAGUAGUGGGUGUAGCGUACCUACUAGCCUACGACGGGUACGGGUUGUGAGAGCAAGAGCCCGGAGAUGGAUCCUGAGACACGAAUCCAGGCCCUACGGGGUGCAGCAGGCGCGAAAACUUUACAAUGCUGGCAACAGCGAUAAGGGAACCUCGAGUGCCAGGUUACAAAUCUGGCUGUCGAGAUGCCUAAAAAGCAUUUCAUAGCAAGGGCCGGGCAAGACCGGUGCCAGCCGCCGCGGUAACACCGGCGGCUCGAGUGGUAACCGUUAUUAUUGGGUCUAAAGGGUCUGUAGCCGGCCGGAUAAGUCUCUUGAGAAAUCUGGCAGCUUAACUGUCAGGCUUUCAGGAGAUACUGUCUGGCUCGAGGCCGGGAGAGGUGAGAGGUACUUCAGGGGUAGGGGUGAAAUCUUGUAAUCCUUGAAGGACCACCAGUGGCGAAGGCGUCUCACCAGAACGGACCUGACGGCAAGGGACGAAAGCUAGGGGCACGAACCGGAUUAGAUACCCGGGUAGUCCUAGCCGUAAACGAUACUCGCUAGGUGUCGGCCACGGUGCGACCGUUGUCGGUGCCGUAGGGAAGCCGUGAAGCGAGCCACCUGGGAAGUACGGCCGCAAGGCUGAAACUUAAAGGAAUUGGCGGGGGAGCACCAC
rnacentral:rRNA from 1 species